rnacentral:rRNA from 1 species
UAAUUCUAGAGCUAAUACAUGCACCAAAGCUCCGAAUUUUUGACGAGCGCAUCUAUUAGAUUAAAACCAAUCGGGUUUCGGCCCGUUUGUUGGUGACUCUGAAUAACUAUGGCUGAUCGCAUGGUCUAGAACCGGCGACGUGUCUAUCAAGUGUCUGCCUUAUCAACUGUCGAUGGUAGUUUAUGUGCCUACCAUGGUUGUAACGGGUAACGGAGAAUAAGGGUUCGACUCCGGAGAGGGAGCCUGAGAAACGGCUACCACAUCCAAGGAAGGCAGCAGGCGCGCAAAUUACCCACUCUCGGCAUGAGGAGGUAGUGACGAAAAAUAACGAGACCGUUCUCUAUGAGGCCGGUUAUCGGAAUGGGUACAAUUUAAACCCGUUAACGAGGAUCUAUGAGAGGGCAAGUCUGGUGCCAGCAGCCGCGGUAAUUCCAGCUCUCAAAGUGUAUAUCGUCAUUGCUGCGGUUAAAAAGCUCGUAGUUGGAUCUGCGCCUCAGGACCUGGUCCGCCCACUGGGUGAGAACUGGGCUCCUGGGCUAGUUCUGCUGGUUUUCCCUGCGUUGCCUUCAUCGGUAGCGUAGGGUGGCUAGCGAGUUUACUUUGAAAAAAUUAGAGUGCUUCACGCGGGCUUAUGUCUGAAUACUCGUGCAUGGAAUAAUAGAAUAGGAUCUCGGCUCUAUUUUGUUGGUUUUCUGAUCUGAGAUAAUGGUUAAGAGGGACGGACGGGGGCAUUCGUAUCGCUGCGUGAGAGGUGAAAUUCUUGGACCGUAGCGAGACGUCCGACUGCGAAAGCAUUUGCCAAGAAUGUCUUCAUUAAUCAAGAACGAAAGUCAGAGGU